GACAGAGGAUGCAAGCGUUAUCCGGAAUUACUGGGCGUAAAGCGCGUGUAGGCUGCUCCGCAAGUCGGAUGUGAAAGCCCUGGGCUCAACCUAGGAAGUGCAUUCGAAACUGCAGAGCUGGAGUCCUGGAGAGGAAGGCGGAAUUCUCGGUGUAGAGGUGAAAUUCGUAGAUAUCGAGAGGAACACCGGUGGCGAAGGCGGCCUUCUGGACAGUGACUGACGCUGAGACGCGAAAGCGUGGGGAGCAAACAGG
rnacentral:rRNA from 1 species